rnacentral:misc_RNA from 1 species
GAUGAAGAACGCAGCGAAAUGCGAUAAGUAGUGUGAAUUGCAGAAUUCAGUGAAUCAUCGAAUCUUUGAACGCACAUUGCGCCUCCUGGUAUUCCGGGAGGCAUACCUGUUCGAGCGUCAUUAAAAUCACUCAAGCUUAGGUUUACCUAUUGCUUGGUCUUGGAGAUGGAAGCCAAUUUAUUGGAAUCCUCUUCGAAAUUCAAUGGCGAAGACCCUUGCUCUCCCAAGUGUAGUAAUAACUUAUGUCACUGAAGGAAGCGAGAAAUCUUCUGCCGUAACCCCCAUAUUUUCUAUGAUUGACCUCGGAUCAGGUAGGGAUACCCGCUGAACUUAAGCAUAUCAAUAAGCGGAGGA